GACGAACGCUGGCGGCGUGCUUAACACAUGCAAGUCGAACGGAAAGGCCCUGCUUUUGUGGGGUGCUCGAGUGGCGAACGGGUGAGUAACACGUGAGCAACCUGCCCUUGACUUUGGGAUAACUUCAGGAAACUGGGGCUAAUACCGGAUAGGAGCUCCUGCUGCAUGGUGGGGGUGGGAAAGUUUCGGCGGUUGGGGAUGGACUCGCGGCUUAUCAGCUUGUUGGUGGGGUAGUGGCUUACCAAGGCUUUGACGGGUAGCCGGCCUGAGAGGGUGACCGGCCACAUUGGGACUGAGAUACGGCCCAGACUCCUACGGGAGGCAGCAGUGGGGAAUAUUGCACAAUGGGCGGAAGCCGGAUGCAGCAACGCCGCGUGCGGGAUGACGGCCUUCGGGUUGUAAACCGCUUUCGCCUGUGACGAAGCGUGAGUGACGGUAAUGGGUAAAGAAGCACCGGCUAACUACGUG
rnacentral:rRNA from 1 species